rnacentral:tRNA from 1 species
ACCAGGAUGGCCAAGUGGUUAAGGCAUUGAACUUUAUGUCCAAUGGACAGACACCUCGUGGGUUCAAACCCCACUCCUGGAA